GGGGGAACUGAAACAUCUAAGUACCCCGAGGAAAAGAAAUCAACCGAGAUUCCCCAAGUAGCGGCGAGCGAACGGGGAGCAGCCCAGAGCCUGAAUCAGUGUGUGUGUUAGUGGAAGCGUCUGGAAAGGCGCGCGAUACAGGGUGACAGCCCCGUACACAAAAAUGCACAUAUUGUGAGCUCGAUGAGUAGGGCGGGACACGUGGUAUCCUGUCUGAAUAUGGGGGGACCAUCCUCCAAGGCUAAAUACUCCUGACUGACCGAUAGUGAACCAGUACCGUGAGGGAAAGGCGAAAAGAACCCCGGCGAGGGGAGUGAAAAAGAACCUGAAACCGUGUACGUACAAGCAGUGGGAGCACGCUUAGGCGUGUGACUGCGUACCUUUUGUAUAAUGGGUCAGCGACUUAUAUUCUGUAGCAAGGUUAACCGAAUAGGGGAGCCGAAGGGAAACCGAGUCUUAACUGGGCGUUAAGUUGCAGGGUAUAGACCCGAAACCCGGUGAUCUAGCCAUGGGCAGGUUGAAGGUUGGGUAACACUAACUGGAGGACCGAACCGACUAAUGUUGAAAAAUUAGCGGAUGACUUGUGGCUGGGGGUGAAAGGCCAAUCAAACCGGGAGAUAGCUGGUUCUCCCCGAAAGCUAUUUAGGUAGCGCCUCGUGAAUUCAUCUCCGGGGGUAGAGCACUGUUUCGGCAAGGGGGUCAUCCCGACUUACCAACCCGAUGCAAACUGCGAAUACCGGAGAAUGUUAUCACGGGAGACACACGGCGGGUGCUAACGUCCGUCGUGAAGAGGGAAACAACCCAGACCGCCAGCUAAGGUCCCAAAGUCAUGGUUAAGUGGGAAACGAUGUGGGAAGGCCCAGACAGCCAGGAUGUUGGCUUAGAAGCAGCCAUCAUUUAAAGAAAGCGUAAUAGCUCACUGGUCGAGUCGGCCUGCGCGGAAGAUGUAACGGGGCUAAACCAUG
rnacentral:rRNA from 1 species